CCUGACUGCUAUCGGAUUGAUACUAAGCCAUGCGAGUCAUUGUAGUAAUACAAGGCAGACGGCUCAGUAACGCGUAGUCAACCUAACCUAUGGACGGGAAUAACCUCGGGAAACUGAGAAUAAUGCCCGAUAGAACAUUAUGCCUGGAAUGGUUUAUGUUCCAAACGAUUUAUCGCCAUAGGAUGGGACUGCGGCCUAUCAGUUUGUUGGUGAGGUAAUGGCCCACCAAGACUAUUACAGGUACGGGCUCUGAGAGGAGUAGCCCGGAGAUGGGUACUGAGACACGGACCCAGGCCCUAUGGGGCGCAGCAGGCGAGAAAACUUUGCAAUGUGCGAAAGCACGACAAGGUUAAUCCGAGUGGUUUCUGCUAAAGGAACCUUUUGUCAGUCCUAAAAACACUAACGAAUAAGGGGUGGGCAAGUUCUGGUGUCAGCCGCCGCGGUAAAACCAGCACCUCAAGUGGUCAGGAUGAUUAUUGGGCCUAAAGCAUCCGUAGCCGGCUCUGUAAGUUUUCGGUUAAAUCUGUACGCUCAACGUACAGGCUGCCGGAAAUACUGCAGAGCUAGGGAGUGGGAGAGGUAGACGGUACUCGGUAGGAAGGGGUAAAAUCCUUUGAUCUAUUGAUGACCACCUGUGGCGAAGGCGGUCUACCAGAACACGUCCGACGGUGAGGGAUGAAAGCUGGGGGAGCAAACCGGAUUAGAUACCCGGGUAGUCCCAGCUGUAAACUAUGCAAACUCAGUGAUGCAUUGGCUUAUGGCCAAUGCAGUGCUGCAGGGAAGCCGUUAAGUUUGCCGCCUGGGAAGUACGUACGCAAGUAUGAAACUUAAAGGAAUUGGCGGGGGAGCACCACAAGGGGUGAAGCCUGCGGUUC
rnacentral:rRNA from 2 species